rnacentral:rRNA from 1 species
GGGUUCCAGGAAAUAGCCCCACCGUAUAGACCGUACCCGAAACCGACACAGGUGGUCAGGUAGAGUAUACCAAGGCGCUUGAGAGAAGUGUACUGAAGGAACUCGGCAAAUUGCCUCCGUACCUUCGGAAGAAGGAGGCCCCACGUAAGCGCAAGCUCUCGUGGGGGGCACAGGCCAGGGGGUAGCGACUGUUUAGCAAAAACACAGGGCUCUGCUAAGUCGGCUUCAAGACGACGUAUAGGGUCUGACGCCUGCCCGGUGCCUGAAGGUUAGGUGGAGGGGUGCAAGCUCCGAAAUGAAGCCCAGGUAAACGGCGGCCGUAACGAUAACGGUCCUAAGGUAGCGAAAUUCCUUGUCGGGUAAGUUCCGACCUGCACGAAUGGCGUAACGACUUCCCCACUGUCUCCAGUACAUGCUCAGCGAAAUUGAAUUCUCCGUGAAGAUGCGGAGUACCCGCGGUUAGACGGAAAGACCCCGUGCACCUUUACUGCAGCUUCAGAGUGGCAUUAGGAAAGAACUGUGUAGCAUAGGUGGGAGGCUUUGAAACUUGGGCGCCAGCUCGAGUGGAGCCAUAGGUGAAAUACCACCCUGUUGUUUUCUGAUGUCUAACCUUGAUCCAUGAAACUGGAUCAGGGACCCUCUGUGGCGGGUAGUUUGACUGGGGCGGUCGCCUCCUAAAGAGUAACGGAGGCGCGCGAAGGUUGGCUCAGGACGGUCGGAAACCGUCUGUUAGAGUGCAAUGGCAUAAGCCAGCCUGACUGCGAGACUGACAAGUCGAGCAGAGACGAAAGUCGGUCAUAGUGAUCCGGUGGUCCCUCGUGGAAGGGCCAUCGCUCAACGGAUAAAGGGUACGCCGGGGAUAACAGGCUGAUAACCCCCAAGAGCUCAUAUCGACGGGGUUGUUUGGCACCUCGAUGUCGGCUCAUCACAUCCUGGGGCUGGAGCAGGUCCCAAGGGUUUGGCUGUUCGCCAAUUAAAGUGAUACGUGAGCUGGGUUCAGAACGUCGCGAGACAGUUUGGUCCCUAUCUGCCGUGGGCGUCGAUAUUUGAGAGGAGUUGACCCUAGUACGAGAGGACCGGGUUGAACAUACCUCUGGUGGACCUGUCGUGGCGCCAGCCGCGCAGCAGGGUAGCUAUGUAUGGACGGGAUAACCGCUGAAAGCAUCUAAGCGGGAAGCCUCCCUCAAGAUAAGAUAUCACAGAGCCGUGGGAGACCACCACGUUGAUAGAUCGGAUGUGGAAGUGCGGUAACGCAUGGAGCUAACCGAUACUAAUUGCUCUA